rnacentral:lncRNA from 10 species
ACUCGUAUUCAUUCUGGUCUCUCUGAGUUGUUUGCUCCCACCUGUUUGGUCUCACUUUUCUCUCUGUAUCUCAGGAGCCAGAACUACAAGCUUCAGAAGUCAGUUCAGAUGGUUAUCUGCAAUUUCUCUUUGUAGUGCUAUUCGAGGUCAAAUCCAUUACAGCAUAUGUUCAGACUGACUUUGCACACUUAACUCCACUGGGCUUUCAGUGACAUACUUGGCGCUUCACCUGAGAACACCAGAUUUCACCAUAACCAAACUAUACCUGCUUCUACAUUAAACUACGAAGAGACAAGUCAAUUUCUUUUUGAAAAUAACCAUUUUCCCAAUUGCCCAUAGUGAUUAGAGAGUCAUGUCAUGAACACAACAGAUGAGACUGAAGCAGAGCUCAGGGUUAAGAAGAUUCAAAUAUCCAGCCAGGUGCCUCUUUCCACAGUACUUUCACUGAGUUCAUCUCAUUUUUAGCUUUCAGUGAACCCUUAACUUUCAGGCCCAGCUUCCAAAAUAUUCAUGUUGAGUAUGAAUAUUCAAUAUUCAUUCUUCCCACACCUCCAAGGACAAAAUUCAGAAGAAA